rnacentral:lncRNA from 1 species
GGAAAAAACAACCAUUACACAUAAAAAAGAGUAAAUUGCCAUUACUAAUAAAAGAGAGAAUAUGACCGUUACACUAGCAAGAGGAGAAAACGGUCACUACUCAUAAAACAAGAGAAAACGGCCAUAACACACAAAACAAAAGAAUACAACCAUUACACAUAAAACAAGAGAAUUUAAUCAUUGCACAUGCAACAGAUGAAAACGGCCAUUACACAUAAACAAAAGGAAACGGCCAUCAACCGUAUAAAAGA